UCCCUAUAAUCGCUGAAUUCCAAUGGGAACGGGGGAACCAACUGUGGUUGAUUGCGAACCACAUGGGGUGAAUCUUAUUCAAAUGAUAUGGAUUUGAAUAAGUAGGGUGACUCUCAGCACCCGAAUCCGUCAGCUAACCUCGUAAGCGUAGUGAGAGGGGGG
rnacentral:sRNA from 2 species